rnacentral:rRNA from 1 species
ACUCCUACGGGAGGCAGCAGUGGGAAUAUUGCACAAGGGCGCAANCCUGGAUGCAGCCAUGCCGCGUGUGUGAAGAAGGCCUUCGGGUUGUAAAGCACUUUCAGUCGUGAGGAAGGUAGUGUAGUUAAUAGCUGCAUUAUUUGACGUUAGCGACAGAAGAAGCACCGGCUAAUCUCGUGCCAGCAGCCGCGGUAAUACGGAGGGUGCGAGCGUUAAUCGGAAUUACUGGGCGUAAAGCGCAUGCAGGUGGUUUGUUAAGUCAGAUGUGAAAGCCCGGGGCUCAA